rnacentral:rRNA from 1 species
UGCCGCGUGUGUGAAGAAGGCCUUCGGGUUGUAAAGCACUUUAAGUGGGGAGGAAGGGGUCAACGUUAAUACCGUUGAUCAUUGACGCUACCCACAGAAUAAGCACCGGCUAACUCUGUGCCAGCAGCCGCGGUAAUACAGAGGGUGCAAGCGUUAAUCGGAAUUACUGGGCGUAAAGCGCGCGUAGGCGGUUAUUUAAGUCGGGUGUGAAAGCCCCGGGCUCAACCUGGGAAUUGCAUCCGAUACUGAGUGACUAGAGUAUGAGAGAGGGAGGUAGAAUUCCACGUGUAGCGGUGAAAUGCGUAGAUAUGUGGAGGAGUACCGGUGGCGAAGGCGGCCUCCUGGCUUAAUACUGACGCUGAGGUGCGAAAGCGUGGGGAUCAAACAGGAUUAGAUACCCUGGUAGUCCACGCCGUAAACGAUGUCAACUAGCCGUUGGGCACCUUAGUGUGCUUGGUGGCGCAGCUAACGCGAUAAGUUGACCGCCUGGGGAGUACGGUCGCAAGAUUA